rnacentral:rRNA from 1 species
UACGUAGGGGGCAAGCGUUGUCCGGAUUUAUUGGGCGUAAAGAGCGUGUAGGCGGUUUGGUAGGUCCGCUGUGAAAACUCGAGGCUCAACCUCGAGACGCCGGUGGAAACCAUCAGGCUAGAGUCCGGAAGAGGAGAGUGGAAUUCCUGGUGUAGCGGUGAAAUGCGCAGAUAUCAGGAAGAACACCCGUGGCUAAGGCGGCUCUCUAGUACGGUACUGACGCUGAAGACGCGAAAAGCGUGGGGAGCGAACAGG